UAGGAAGGCAGCAGUGGGGAAUAUUGCACAAUGGGCGAAAGCCUGAUGCAGCUAUGCCGCGUGUAUGAAGAAGGCCUUAGGGUUGUAAAGUACUUUCAUCGGGGAGGAAAAACAAAACUAAUAAUUUUAUUUCUUGACGUUACCCGAAAAAGAAGCACCGGCUAACUCCGUGCCAGCAGCCGCGGUAAUACGGAGGGUGCUAGCGUUAAUCAGAAUUACUGGGCGUAAAGAGCACGUAGGUGGUUUUUUAAGUCAGAUGUGAAAUCCCUGGGCUUAACCUAGGAACUGCAUUUUGAAACUGAAAUACUAGAGUAUCGUAGAGGGAGGUAGAAUUCUAGGUGUAGCGGUGAAAUGCGUAGAUAUCUGGAGGAAUACCUGUGGCGAAAGCGGCCUCCUAAACGAAUACUGACGCUGAGGUGCGAAAGCGUGGGGAGCAAACAGGGAUUAGAUACC
rnacentral:rRNA from 1 species